rnacentral:rRNA from 1 species
UACGUAGGGUGCGAGCGUUGUCCGGAAUUAUUGGGCGUAAAGGGCUCGUAGGCGGUUUGUCGCGUCGGGAGUGAAACCCAGGGCUUAACCCUGGGCUGGCUUUCGAUACGGGCAGACUAGAGGUAUGCAGGGGAGAACGGAAUUCCUGGUGUAGCGGUGAAAUGCGCAGAUAUCAGGAGGAACACCAAUAGCGAAGGCAGCUCGCUGGGACGUUACUGACACUGAGGCGCGAAAGCGUGGGGAGCGAACAGG